GACGAACGCUGGCGGCGUGCUUAACACAUGCAAGUCGAACGAAGUGGCGAACGGGUGAGUAACGCGUAAUCAACCUGCCCUUCAGAGGGGGACAACAGUUGGCAACGACUGCUAAUACCGCAUACUGAGGGAGGGGAAUUCGUCUGAUUAGUGAGUUGGAGGGGUAACGGCCCACCACGGCAAUGAUCAGUAGCCGUUCGGAGAGUGUGAACGGCCACAUUGGGCAUGAGACACGGCCCAGACUCCUACGGGAGGCAGCAGUGGGGAAUCUUUCGAAAUGGACGAAAGUCUGACGGAGCAACGCCGCGUGAGUGAUGACGGCCUUCGGGUUGUAAAGCUCUGUUAAGCGGGACGCGGUACCGGAAUAGAAAGCCACGGCUAACUACGUGCCAGCAGCCGCGGUAAUAC
rnacentral:rRNA from 1 species